UCAACUUACCCCGAAUGCCAAAUCUUCUAAUCCCUUUGGUCGGCGAGACUUUCAAGAAGACAUGAUCUCCAAUCUGGAACUCCAAAUCUCGUCGACGCCUGUCGGCAUAGCUCCUCUGUCUACUCUGAGCCGUUAACAAACGCUCCUGAGCAAUGCGAACUUUAUCUUUUACUUCCUGAAGCACAUCAGGGCCUAAAGCUAAUCUCUCGCCGACUUCACUCCAAUGAAGUGGCGAUCUACACUUCCGUCAAUAAAGUGUUUCGAAAGUUGCCAUCUUGAUGCUUGCUUGAUAACUAUUGUUAUAAGCAAACUCUGUGUCAAGCCCCGGAACCCCGCAUAGGCCCUGCCGGGUGCGUGCCCAGACCCGCCAUAUGCCUGCACAUAUAAGGCGUCUACAACAAAGUGAUAUGAAAGAUAAAAUAAACAAUAACUAACGAUAUCAGAGCAAGUAUGCAGCUAAGUUCUAUCAACAAGCGGAAAUAAAAGGAAAGAAAAAGAGACUAAACCACUAGAACAUAAUAAAACUAAUACAUCAUAAGUCUCAAGAUACAACAGUAGGGUGGUCUCUAUAAUAAGGUACAAAACUCUCACAACCUCUCCAAAGAAAAAACAAAAGAGAGGUGGACCACCUAUCGCCAAAUCUCUCGCUAGCUAGCUCAAAGCGAAACCUUUCCCGUGAUCCCGAGCCCCUCCCGAAGUGGAAGGCACUGAAAGAAAACAUAAAAUAGGGGGUAUGAGAACUAUAAUUUAUAGUUCCCAGUGGGCAAUUACUGACCUACACCAACUGCAACACUAGGCCCAAAAGAGAGCAGAUAAGGAUAACAUAAAUUAACUGCGGUAAAUAAAGCAUAAUAAUAAAAUGCUACUCUAUUAUGACACAAGUAUAUAGAAUGUCAACAUGGAGUACAUCUACUCUACAUGAUCCAGUAUGUCAAUACUUAAACAAGUAUGCUAUGAUGCAACAAGUAAUACUAUAAAGUAUGAUAAAAGUCCCAAAGCCAACUACAUAUCUAGUAUGUAGUAUCAUGGCAACCAAGUAUACUACAAUGCAAUAAAUGAUACCGUCAAGUAUACUAUAUAACUCAAUGCCCAACCCUAUGCCAUAGCAUGUCAAGGAAUCCAACUACCAUAACCUGUCUAGUAGUGUUUAUCAACCUAUUAAUUAAUAUUCAGGUUCAAUCUCAUUUAGGACCUACACAGGUGAGGUCUGGCUUGUGCC
rnacentral:lncRNA from 1 species